AUUGAACGCUGGCGGCAUGCCUUACACAUGCAAGUCGAACGGCAGCACGGGAGCAAUCCUGGUGGCGAGUGGCGAACGGGUGAGUAAUACAUCGGAACGUGCCCAAUCGUGGGGGAUAACUACGCGAAAGCGUAGCUAAUACCGCAUACGAUCUACGGAUGAAAGCAGGGGAUCGCAAGACCUUGCGCGAAUGGAGCGGCCGAUGGCAGAUUAGGAGUUGGUGAGGUAAAGGCUCACCAAGCCUUCGAUCUGUAGCUGGUCUGAGAGGACGACCAGCCACACUGGGACUGAGACACGGCCCAGACUCCUACGGGAGGCAGCAGUGGGGAAUUUUGGACAAUGGGCGCAAGCCUGAUCCAGCCAUGCCGCGUGCAGGAUGAAGGCCUUC
rnacentral:rRNA from 1 species